GGCAGCAGCUGGGCAGGGGCUGUGCUCAUCUUUGUUGCUCAGAACUGUGACUUUUCACCAGGACUUGGGCCUUGCUGCUGCUCUUUAGGAAUCGUCCAGGCUGGAGAAGAUGGGGUCUCAUCAUCUAACGUCCUGUGCCCAGGGCUUGGUGACCUUCCCUGAUGUGGCCGUGAGCUUCUCCCCGGAGGAGUGGCCGUGCCUGGAUGUUUCUCAGAGGAAGCUCUACAGAGAUGUGAUGCUGGAGACCUACGAGCACCUGCAGGCAAUAGGUGAGAGCUGCCCUGGCCUGGGCCGCUACUGUGGGCUACAACCUGAGUGACAGGGAGUUAAGUGCCUGGAUCUGCAUGGAUAGGAGCCAAAAAGGGGAUAUGAUUCUGCUGAGCCCAAGGUCAAGCCCUUCCCUACUGUUCUUUUUUUGUUUUUAAAGUUUUUAUUUAUUUUGUUUUGGGGCCACAUCCAGCAGCGCUCAGGGUUUACUCGUGGCUCUGCUCUGAGAAAUCACUCCUUGCAGGCUCAGAGGACCACAUAGAAUGCUGGCAAUUGAAGCUGGUUCUGUCCCAGGUUGGGCAAACACCCUAUGGCUGUGCGAUCUUUGGCCCCACUUCCCUACUGUUCUGACCCCCAGCCUCUGACUUUUUCUCAGAUGAAUCCAACUUUAUAUUUGUAAAUGUCUUUUCGGUGACUAGUGAUAUACAUUGUUCCACAGAUUUGCCAUAUCUGGGCCAAACUGGAUUUGAUCCCAGGCUCUGCAUAUGCUUCCCUAAGCCUGACAGUAUCCUCUUUGAGCACAGACCCAGAAGUGAUUUGGCCAAAAGUGAUGUGAUUUCAUGAACUGGGUGAUCUUAGCCUCUGGACUCUGAUUAAAGGAUCAUUCCUGACACA